GACGAACGCUGGCGGCGUGCCUAAUACAUGCAAGUAGAACGCACAGUUUAUACCGUAGCUUGCUCCACCAUAGACUGUGAGUUGCGAACGGGUGAGUAACGCGUAGGUAACCUGCCUGGUAGCGGGGGGUAACUAUUGGAAACGCUAGCUAAUACCGCAUAAUAUUAAUUAUUGCAUGAUAAUUAAUUGAAAGGUGCAAUUGCACCACUACUAGAUGGACCUGCGUUGUAUUAGCUAGUAGGUGAGGUAACGGCUCACCUAGGCGACGAUACAUAGCCGACCGGAGAGGGUGAGCGGCCACACUGGGACUGAGACACGGCCCAGACUCCUACGGGAGGCAGCAGUAGGGAAUCGUCGGCAAUGGACGAAAGUCUGACCGAGCAACGCCGCGUGAGUGAAGAAGGUUGUCGGAUCGUAAAGCUCUGUUGUAAGAGAAGAACGGGUGUGAGAGUGGAAAGUUCACACUGUGACGGUAUCUUACCAGAAAGGGACGGCUAACUACGUG
rnacentral:rRNA from 1 species